AGAGUUUGAUCCUGGCUCAGAUUGAACGCUGGCGGCAGGCCUAACACAUGCAAGUCGAGCGGUAGAGAGGUGCUUGCACCUCUUGAGAGCGGCGGACGGGUGAGUAAUACCUAGGAAUCUGCCUGGUAGUGGGGGAUAACGUUCGGAAACGGACGCUAAUACCGCAUACGUCCUACGGGAGAAAGCAGGGGACCUUCGGGCCUUGCGCUAUCAGAUGAGCCUAGGUCGGAUUAGCUAGUUGGUGAGGUAAUGGCUCACCAAGGCUACGAUCCGUAACUGGUCUGAGAGGAUGAUCAGUCACACUGGAACUGAGACACGGUCCAGACUCCUACGGGAGGCAGCAGUGGGGAAUAUUGGACAAUGGGCGAAAGCCUGAUCCAGCCAUGCCGCGUGUGUGAAGAAGGUCUUCGGAUUGUAAAGCACUUUAAGUUGGGAGGAAGGGCAUUAACCUAAUACGUUAGUGCUUUGACGUUACCGACAGAAUAAGCACCGGCUAACUCUGUGCCAGCAGCCGCGGUAAUACAGAGGGUGCAAGCGUUAAUCGGAAUUACUGGGCGUAAAGCGCGCGUAGGUGGUUUGUUAAGUUGAAUGUGAAAUCCCCGGGCUCAACCUGGGAACUGCAUCCAAAACUGGCAAGCUAGAGUAUGGUAGAGGGUAGUGGAAUUCCAUGUGUAGCGGUGAAAUGCGUAGAUAUAUGGAGGAACACCAGUGGCGAAGGCGGCUCUCUGGUCUGUAACUGACGCUGAGGCUCGAAAGCGUGGGGAGCAAACAGGAUUAGAUACCCUGGUAGUCCACGCCGUAAACGAUGAGUGCUAAGUGUUGGAGGGUUUCCGCCCUUCAGUGCUGCAGUAAACGCAUUAAGCACUCCGCCUGGGGAGUACGACCGCAAGGUUGAAACUCAAAGGAAUUGACGGGGGCCCGCACAAGCGGUGGAGCAUGUGGUUUAAUUCGAAGCAACGCGAAGAACCCUACCAGGUCUUGACAUCCUUUGACCACUCUAGAGAUAGAGCUUUCCCUUCGGGGACAAAGUGACAGGUGGUGCAUGGUUGUCGUCAGCUCGUGUCGUGAGAUGUUGGGUUAAGUCCCGCAACGAGCGCAACCCUUAUUGUUAGUUGCCAUCAUUUAGUUGGGCACUCUAGCGAGACUGCCGGUGACAAACCGGAGGAAGGUGGGGAUGACGUCAAAUCAUCAUGCCCCUUAUGACCUGGGCUACACACGUGCUACAAUGGGAAGUACAACGAGUCGCUAGACCGCGAGGUCAUGCAAAUCUCUUAAAGCUUCUCUCAGUUCGGAUUGCAGGCUGCAACUCGCCUGCAUGAAGCCGGAAUCGCUAGUAAUCGCGGAUCAGCACGCCGCGGUGAAUACGUUCCCGGGCCUUGCACACACCGCCCGUCA
rnacentral:rRNA from 1 species